CCCUUAGAUGUUCUGGGCCGCACGCGCGCUACACUGACGAAUGCAACGAGCUUAUAACCUUGGCCGAAAGGUCUGGGUAAUCUCCAAAUUUCGUCGUGAUGGGGAUAGAUUAUUGCAAUUAUUGAUCUUGAACGAGGAAUUCCUAGUAAACGCGAGUCAUCAGCUCGCAUUGAUUACGUCCCUGCCCUUUGUACACACCGCCCGUCGCACCUACCGAUUGAAUGUUUCGGUGAAGAUUCCGGAUAGGACUUUUUUGAUUUAUUUCAAUUUUGUCUUAAAAGCUAUCUAAACCUCAACAUUUAGAGGAAGGUGAAGUCGUANCA
rnacentral:rRNA from 1 species